UCCUUAAAUAGUAUGGUCUCAGCCAAUAUUAAAUAUUGUAUCCAGACAGUGAAGAAAAUAUUCAGAUCGAUAAAAAGCAGUUUCAUUUUCCAAAACAUUUAACAUCUAAAGUUGCCAUAUAUUCAACCACAAGGAGGUACUAAUGAGCUAUGCGAUAUAUAUAUUUUAAUCAUAAUAGAGGACUACUGAAAUUGUAUUAUUUCGGUGUAGAUAAGGAAAGGGCAGGUUAAAAAACAUGAAUGCAGUGGAAAUUAACUGACUAAGCAUUUGGAUUGCUGCUGCUGUAUCUGCCUGCUCAGUACUGUACAGAGCCAAUCUGUCAUGGUCACCUCUCCUCAACCCCAGUUGUAGCACUGUUCUAGUGCCCUCUCCUGGACGACAGGCUCUCUUUCAGAGUAACUUGAUAAAGCCCACAUGUCCUCCACCCACUCUGAGAUCUGACCCCUCUCUCUCCAACUAGCUGACUAGCUGUCUGAUGGAGAACAGUGAAAUCUAGACACUCACAAACACACCUCUUACCAAUCAAUCGAUGACGAAUGUUCCUCUUGUGGUUCAGGGAAAUGCCAAAGAUGGACUCGAUGCUCAUUCAGCCAUCCUUUCAAUGUUGUUUUUCAACUUUGAUUAUUUGAACUGCUGCCAUUUUGUAUGUGGACUAUUGUUGCUCUUCUGUUACUUUGCUGUUCCUAUGUUGGUCUAGAAAUCUUGUUCCUGUGGGUUAUAGAAUGGAUGGGCAAUCUAUAAUAUGUACAAACAUUUUUAAAGGUGCAAUUCAAAUAUCUCUACCCCCAUAAUGACAUGACCAAGUACCAACACAUUCAACCUGACACAAUCACAAAAACAUAGAUUGUAUGUUGGUUUUACACUCAAAAUAAUGCUCCACUAAGCUAGAUUCCAUCAGUUCUGCCUUAACCCUUGAUAACCUGACAACAUUGUUUUUAUUAAGGCGAUGUCGGAGGUGUAACUGCAUUGGAGCUGUCAAAUCGCCUCCCGGAAUUAUAGCUAUUACGGACAUUGCCAUUGGAUGUGCAGAGACACAGUAGUAGUAAUCGCAUGCAGCCUUGUUACAAGCCGUCAAAUCGGUGAGCAGCUGCUCUUGUGAUCAUUGUCAAAAAGCCACACCUGCCCAUCUCGCAUUAAAAGUUCAGAACAAGAAAGUGUAGGCUAUAUAGAAACAAUUACUCUCAAUUUGAAAAAUCAAUAACGAAAUCAUGAGGAUUUCUAUCAUCUUAAUCGAGGUGUAGAUUACGUCUCAAAUUCCAGUGAUUGAACUUGUCAACAAGGCUGCAUGGGGAUGUCUCUUAACUCUCCACUCCAUGCCGCCAAUGGCAAUGUCCGCUUUAGGUACAAUUUGAUAUUGAGAUAAAAAUGGCUGCAUUGGACCUUUAAAUGUAGCUAUUUUGAGUCUUUGGACCCUUUUACUCCCUUUGUAUAGCAGAAUAUUUGCUUGCUAAACAACCUUUUAAGUACCUCUGUAAAUCCUUAUAUUUUUCAAUGGUGAAUUGCUGUAUACAGUUUAAGCACAAGUGAUUUUCCGCUAGUGGUAUAAAGUAGUUAAGUAAAAAUACUUGAAAGUACUACUUAAGUAGUUUAAGGGAUAUCUGUACUUUACUAUUUAUAUUUUUGCCAACUUUUACAUCGCAACAUUCCUAAAGAAAAUUCUAUACUUUUUACUCAAUAUGUUUUUCCAAACACCCAAAAGUAUUUGUUACAUUUGUAAUACAUAGCAGGACAGGAAAAUUGUCAAAUUCACACACUUAUCAAGAGAACAUCCCCGGUCAUCCCUACU